UACGUAGGGGGCAAGCGUUGUUCGGAAUCACUGGGCGUAAAGCGCACGUAGGCGGACGUGUCAGUCAGGGGUGAAAUCCCGGAGCUCAACUUCGGAACUGCCUUUGAUACAGCACGUCUUGAGUCCGGAAGAGGUGGGUGGAAUUCCUAGUGUAGAGGUGAAAUUCGUAGAUAUUAGGAAGAACACCGGUGGCGAAGGCGGCCCACUGGUCCGGUACUGACGCUGAGGUGCGAAAGCGUGGGGAGCAAACAGG
rnacentral:rRNA from 1 species